GGAGGAGGUGUUCGAGGUGGCGCCAAGGAUUGCCCACCACACUAAUAUUAAGGGGGCUUGGCCUUUCUUCUCUAGGGGGUCCUGGCCUCUCAGCUUCCCUACAGUGAAGGAAGGACAUGAUCAAGACGAAUGAGAUCACAAGGGCAUGUCGGUAAUCAUGGGAGCUUUUUGGAUAGAUUUGAAGCAGAUAGGGUUAUACACACCCUCAUGAUCCGAGUUAGAGGGGGAUAAAAAGUUUGAGGAACAUGAAUACUUAUUAUUAUGCAGAACGAUGAAAUGUUUGACAUGGAUUGAUGAGAGAGGGAUAAAGGAACUGAAUAACUUGUGAUGCUUGCCCUAUUUCCUUUUUGUUUUGGUGCUACAAAAUUCAUCUUUUCAGGUUUUCACAUGUGCCAUGGUGAUCCGUUUCAUUUUUCGUUCCAAUCUCAGGUUGAUGAAUGUCAAAUUUGGCUUCUAUAUUA